UAGGGAAUCUUCCGCAAUGGGCGAAAGCUUGACGGAGCAACGCCGCGUGAGUGAUGAAGGUCUUCGGAUCGUAAAACUCUGUUAUCAGGGAAGAACAAAUGUGUAAGUAACUAUGCACGUCUUGACGGUACCUAAUCAGAAAGCCACGGCUAACUACGUGCCAGCAGCCGCGGUAAUACGUAGGUGGCAAGCGUUAUCCGGAAUUAUUGGGCGUAAAGCGCGCGUAGGCGGUUUUUUAAGUCUGAUGUGAAAGCCCACGGCUCAACCGUGGAGGGUCAUUGGAAACUGGAAAACUUGAGUGCAGAAGAGAAAAGUGGAAUUCCAUGUGUAGCGGUGAAAUGCGCAGAGAUAUGGAGGAACACCAGUGGCGAAGGCGACUUUCUGGUCUGUAACUGACGCUGAUGUGCGAAAGCGUGGGGAUCAAACAGG
rnacentral:rRNA from 1 species